CCCCUACUCGCUGCCUCCCCGACACCCCGGCCCCGCCCUGCCCCAGUGGCACAGAGCUGGCCAUGGAAACAACCGCCAUUGACCGGCCAGCCUGCCGUUUGGGCCUUAGGCCACCUUCCCCAGGCAGCACGGGUGGUUGCAGGGUAGACUUGGGCUCAGGCACCGGCCCUGUGGGUGGGCCUGGGCAGGGUCAGUGCUGUUGUAGAGGAGGGGAGUCCUAACAGUGGCCAGCGUCCACUAUAGCAGCACCAGGCCCUGGCUGAGGCCUUUACUUCUACUUUUUUACUGGUGACUUAUCACAACAACCCUGUGAGUUAGGUCCAUUUUAAAGAUGGGAAGCUGAGUCACGUGGUGAGAAGGACAGAGGCAGGACCGGAUCCAGCCUGUCCAAUCCCACACUUUCAGCCACACCCUAGCAGCCCCCCAACACACUUGAGUCACCAGAACGGGUUCUGGAAUUUAUGCACAAUUUUGAGCUUCCAGGAAUUUUACUGAGGAGAGGGUCUGAGCCUGCAUCGGACUCCCCAAAGCCCCUGUGGCCAUGCUCAAAUGAGGGACCCCAGGGCUGGGUGUCCACGGGCUGGCCCAGCGCCCCCCACUACCACACAGACUUGGGCCUCUUCCUACCUCGGGACGUCCUGGGGUGACAGGAAGCUCCUCCCCUCAGGACUGCCCACAGGCCGGGCUAGCGGCUGGGAGCCACCCUGGGCCCGGGGAGGGGCCUCCAAGUGCCCCCCACCUCACCCCCUGGUGGCCUUCCAGCUAGGGUGGGAACUCAGUGACCAGUGCCGGGCCUUCUCCCCAGAGUAAUUUCCAUUCUUCCUGCCAAAGAUUUAACUUGAGGGAAGACUUUGUGGUGAGGUGGGGACAGAGCAGGCUGGGAGCUGCCUGCCAGCCGCCAUGCACCAUCGUACACACAGAUAGCACAGGCAUCUUUCUCACCAUUAAUCACCUGAGAUGACGUCAGACCCAAUAAUUAGGAGGCUGCCUGGAAUGUGGAGGUGAUGGCUGGAACUCCAGCAGCCAUCUCGAGUUACUGGGAAAAUUUGGAGUGGAAACCGCACACAAGUAGGGAAGGAGAGAGAGAUAGAAGGAGCCUGAGUCCUGAACACCAGGGAGCCACCACAUCACCCCAGUGCUGUCUGCCUCACUUGGAGCUCCUUCUACAGCAGAAAGAGAUACACACUCAUCUUGCUUAAGCUUCUGUAGUUGGGUCUCUGUUAUAUGGAGCCAAACCUAAUUCUUGCUGAAACAUAGCUAUUCUUUUCAGAACAUUUUUGAUUGUUCUUGAUUGUUUAGUUUUCUAGAUGAAUCUUAGAAAUAGAUUGUUUGAUUAAAAUAAUGUCCCAUUAAUUUUUAAAGUGGAAUUUCAUGAUAUUUAUAGAUUUAUUAAAGAUAAUUGAUACUGUUAUAGUAUUGAGUCUUUAUAUAAAAAAUACUAGGCCUUUCCGUUUGUCCAAAUCUUUUCUGGCCCUCAAUAGCAUUUGAAAGCUUUCUUAAUUUCUGGCAUACUUCUCGUAGGGUUACUGUAUUUUUACACAAAUACUGCGCACCUUCUGUGUUUGUUUGCCACCCACACCAUCCCCCCAUAAGGUAUUUUUGUAAGCGUGCUAUGCUAAUUUUUUUACAGAAACCUAAGGAAGAAGACUAGCACAGUGGCGCUUGUGAGGGUGUCUCAUGGGGAGUGGGGAGAGGCCAGAAGACAAACACAGAAGGUGCGCAUUGUUUGCAUAAAUAUUGUAAUUUCUAAAUAUUUUCUAUUUUUUGUCAUAAUCAUACAUAGGGUCUUUCUUGUAUCACCUAACCGGUUGAUGUUCGUAUGUGUAAAGGGCAGUGAGCUUCCUGUAAGCCUACUCCUCACUUACAGACUAUCUCGGUAUCCGACAUUUCACAUUUACAAGAGUAAAAAAUCUACUAUUCAACUAUUUUGGGCAUUAACAAUGUACGUCUGGGAAUAAUAAAUGCUGAGGUGAGAGGCAAGAGUAACGCUGCCUGUGGUGGUUGAGGCUAUGUGGCAACUUGGCUGGGCCAUGAUUCUUAGUGUUAGGCAGUCAUGUAAUGAUGUCAUUUGGCAGGUAUGUAAUGAUGUCAUUUGGCAAUUAUGUAAUGACAUGUUGUUGUUGUUAGGUGUUGUCGAGUUGAUUUCGACUCACAGCGACCCUAUGUACAACAGAAUGAAAUACUGCCCGGUCCUGUGCCAUCCUCACCGUUGUCGUUAUGCUUGAGCUCAUUGUUGCAGCCAUUGUGCCAAUCCAUCUCUUUGAUGGUCUUUCUCUUUUUUGAUGACCCUCUACUUUACCAAGCAUGAUGUUAUUCUGCAGAGACUGGUCCCUCCUGAUAACAUGUCCAAAUCAUGUGAGAUGAAGUCUUGCCAUCCUUGCUUUCAAGGAGCACUCUGGCUGUACUUCUUCCAAGACAGAUUUGUUCAUUCUUUUGGCAGUCCACAGUAUAUUCAAUAUUCUUUGCCAACACCAUAAUUCAAAGGCAUCAGUUCUUCUUCGGUCCUCCUUAUUCAUUGUCCAUCUUUCACGUGCAUGUGAGGUGAUUGAAAACACCAUGGUUUGGGCCAGGCGCACCUUAGGCCUCAAAGUGACAUCUUUGCUUUUUAUUAUGUUAAAGAGAUGUCUUGCAGCAGGUUUGCCCAAUGCAUUGCAUCGUUUAAUUUCCUGACUGCUGUUUCCAUGGGCAUUGAUCGUAGACCAAGUAAAAUGAAAUCCUUGACAGCUUCAGUCUUUUCUCUGUUUAUCAUGAUGUUUCUUAUUGGCCCAGUUGUGAGGAUUUUUGUUUUCUUUAUGUUGAGGUGUAAUCCAUACUGAAGGCUGUGGUCUUUGAUCUUUAUCAGUAAGUGCUUCAAGUCCUCUUCACUUUCAGCAAGCAAGGUUGUGUCAUCUGAAUAAUGCAGGUUGUUAAUGAGUCUUCCUCCAAUCUCGAUGCCCCGUUCUUCUUCAUAUACGCCAGCUUCUCAGAUUAUUUCCUAGCUUACAGAUUGUAUAAAUAUGGUGAAAGAAUACACAGUAUCCCCUUGUCGUAUUAGAAUGACUACCUCUUGGUCUAAGUACAGGUUCCUCAUGAGCACAAUUAAGUGUUCUGGAAUUCUCAUUUUUUGAAAUGUUAUACAUAAUUGGUUAUGAUUCACACGGUGGAAUGCCUCUGCAUAAUCAAUGAAACACACGUAAACAUCUUUCUGGUAUUCUCUGCUUUCAGCCAGGAUUCAUCUGACAUCAGUGAUGAUAUCCCUCAUUCCAAGUCCUCCUCUGAACCCAGCUUGAAUUUCUGGCAGUUCCCUGUCAAUGUACUGUCAAUGAUAUAGUCAUCCUCCAUUUUGUGAUCUGAUGUGGUCAUCCUCCGUUUUCACAUGAAGCUGGUCUUCACAUAACAGCCUGGUCUUCAGAAACAAACCAUGUUGACAAGCGAGGAGUGUGAGGAAUGGCGGUAUUAGUUCUGUCCCCAGCACUUUUUACCAAAAUGUGUUCGCCGUUUCAGAAAAAUCGAAGACUCAACAGCUCCAUUUGUUGUGUUAGUGAUGCCAGCGUAGCACACUGGCUUCCGUCUGGGUUUAACUCUGUCAUUCCUAGUGAGUCUUUGUUUUGUUUGCUUUUUUAUUAUGGUGAAUACAUAGGUGACGAAACAUUCGUCAUUUCUACAGUCUUCGCAUGUACGUCCCCGUGACAUUAAUUAUGUUCCCCGUGUCAUUCAAUCAUCACCAUUAAUUAUGGUUUUUUAAGAUAAAUUUUGUUAAGUACCAUUUGGGCAUCUAUGGAGAGAUAUUUUUGAGUUUUUUUCUUCUGAGCUCUUCAGGGGUGAAGUGUCCUUGUGCAAUUCAGCGUACAAACAGUGAACAGACGGUGGACUCAAAUCUGGUCAUUUAAGAAGAUUUUAUUAAAGGGACCAUUUAGAGAGGUGUGAGCAGAGGUUAGGGGAGAAUGUGUGCCCAAGGCCAUCACUACCAGUCCCAGGCCAGUGAUAGGUCGCCCUGGCUGAGGGAGGUGGCAGCUCACAGGGAGAUGGGGUGGAGUCCCUGCCCACUCCCCACAACUUGGCCUGUGCCCCUCACUGGCCGGGCCCUGGAGUUGGAGAACAGGGAGCCGAGAUGCAGGCCUGAGUCCCACCUCCCAGGGCCCAGAGAGGGUGGAGAAGAGGGUGGCUUCGUCAUUUUACAGGCUGCUGGUGGCGCAGUGGUUAAGCAUUUGGCUGCUGACCAAAAGGUUGGCAGUUUAAAUCCACCAGCCGCUCCUUGGAAACCCUGUGGGGCAGUUCUACUCCGUUCUAUAGGGUCGACUCAGUUUGAUUUGGGUUGGGUUCUGUUUGCUAAUGAUUUCCUAGGGUUUUUGCACUGGUUUUCAAAAGUGAAAUUAGUCUGUAGCUUUCAUUUUUUGUUUUUCGCAUGUCAAUUUUUGUAGGGCUUUGGUAUUAAUGUCACACUCGCUGUCUUUCAUAAAAAAAAAGAAAAUCGGAAAAUUUUCUUUCUUUUUCCUCCCCUCCCCCCACCCCCCAGACUUAAGCUGUUUAAACAGCUCUGAAAAAAUCUCUUCUCUGAAAGUUCGCUAGAAUUCCGCUCCUGACCGAUGCUUUGGUAGAUGGUGGGGGUAGCUCUCUUCUCUGGUCACCAUAUGUUUAGAUUUCUGUAUUUUCUAGCGUAAGUUUUGGUCAAAUUACAUUUUUCUAGGAAAUGGUCCGUUUUGUCCUGGCUUUUCAAAUCCAUUCGAACAGACUGAGCAGAGUGGGCUCCAGCAACCCCUCUGACGUCUGGUUAUUUCCUGCAUUUCCUGUUUGUUUUGUGCAUUUAUGCUUUUGCCCUUUCCUUAAAAUCUCCCUGAACGUGCCAUGCUUCUGUAGAGGA